rnacentral:rRNA from 1 species
GAGUUUGAUCCUGGCUCAGAGCGAACGCUGGCGGCAGGCUUAACACAUGCAAGUCGAGCGGGCGUAGCAAUACGUCAGCGGCAGACGGGUGAGUAACGCGUGGGAACGUACCUUUUGGUUCGGAACAACACAGGGAAACUUGUGCUAAUACCGGAUAAGCCCUUACGGGGAAAGAUUUAUCGCCGAAAGAUCGGCCCGCGUCUGAUUAGCUAGUUGGUGAGGUAACGGCUCACCAAGGCGACGAUCAGUAGCUGGUCUGAGAGGAUGAUCAGCCACAUUGGGACUGAGACACGGCCCAAACUCCUACGGGAGGCAGCAGUGGGGAAUAUUGGACAAUGGGCGCAAGCCUGAUCCAGCCAUGCCGCGUGAGUGAUGAAGGCCCUAGGGUUGUAAAGCUCUUUUGUGCGGGAAGAUAAUGACGGUACCGCAAGAAUAAGCCCCCGGCUAACUUCGUGCCAG